AUCCAUUACUUGGUAAAGUUGAAAAAUGAAAAAGAAAGAAAAUAAAACAUUUGAGCAAUGCAUAAUUUUGAACUAGCAUACGUUUCCCUUCUAUUUUCUCUUUUCUUUUCUCGUUUUUUUUCUUACCUAGCACUCCUAAAUUUUUGAGUAAACUAGACUGAUAGUCACUCAAUUAUCAAAAAAAUUAUUUUAGGCACUCAAAAUAAUAAUAAUAAAAGUUUGCAAUUUG
rnacentral:lncRNA from 1 species